rnacentral:lncRNA from 1 species
CUGCGGGCUCCUGCGGGCUCCUGCGGGCUCGCAGUGCUUUGCUGGGGCUGACGCUGAACAGCCCCGCCGGCCCCGUUUUACAGGCGCGGAAAUUGAGUUCCGGGAAAGGCAGGGCCCGGAAUGACUCUGCUUCCGACAGUAUUGGAACCCUUCAACAGCGCCGUGCAUACACAGGAAAGGGACCAACGACCUUUCAUCUGGCCCAUGCAAUGGGAUCUCCACUCAGCAGCUACAGGGGUCUAUAAUUCAGCCCACGCCUACUUAAAAACUUCUCGGUUAUACUUCAUUAAAACCCACCUCCUCACCGGAUAACGCCAAGAUUCUGCUGGAUUUGGUCUCUCUUCCUAUUUGGGCCGCUUUUUCCCUGGCCCAUUCUAACCCAGCAGGUUUCAUUUCGUAUCCUAACUUGACCUAAUUUCCUCAUUUUACCCUGUUGUGUUUUCUUCGUAGAACCUAAUGCUACCUGAGAUUAUUUCAUGUAUUUGUUCAUAUAUAUGUUAUGUUCCUCCACCCUGAGAGUUCCUCGAAAGCAGAGGUUUCAUCUUUUUUCAAAAACAUUUAUCCAGGGCUGGGGUUGUGGCUCAGUGGCAGAG